rnacentral:rRNA from 1 species
UACGGAGGGUGCAAGCGUUAUCCGGAUUCACUGGGUUUAAAGGGUGUGUAGGCGGGUAUUUAAGUCAGUGGUGAAAUCUCCGAGCUCAACUCGGAAACUGCCAUUGAUACUAUUUAUCUUGAAUAUUGUUGAGGUAGGCGGAAUAUGUAUGUAGCGGUGAAAUGCUUAGAUAUGACAUAGAACACCGAUUGCGAAGGCAGCUUGCUAAACAAUUAUUGACGCUGAGGCACGAAAAGCGUGGGGGAUCAAAACAGGAUUAGAUACCCGGGGUA